CACACAUGGAUAUUGGAUAUCUGCAUAGGCAGCUUGCUCCACGCCGGUGCCUACCUGUGCAGAUGGGAAGGAAAGGAAAGUGGCAAGGAGGCAGAGAAAGCAUCUGUACCCUUACAAUUUGGUGAGACAAGAAUGUAUGAAUUCCCACAGGUCAAAUUAUAAUGAAGAAAGGAACCUCUCUUGAGUACAAAGAGCUACCUAUGGUGGUCUGGAGCCGGAGGACCACAGCAUCAAAGGAUAUAAGAUGCAUAGCCAACUGAGGAACCUGAGCAAUUAAAGAGAUCCACAGUUAAGUCACACUUAACUGGCACUUGUGGAAGCCCCGCAAGGCCUGAAGGAGAGCUGACAUAGGCACCCCAGAGAGCCAGAAUCUGGAUCCCAUCUUAAUAAGGCCAUGAACACCAGUGGAGAAGAGGCAGAAACACCAAUGGAUAAGGAACAUUCACAUCUUUCUUCCCAUGUGCCUCUAAGUGCCAGUGCAGGCCCCACAGGCCAAGCUACAGGGAGAAAGGAGAUGACGCAAAGGAACCUAACUGGACUUUAAUCACUAGAAGUGAGAAGAGAAAUCUAUUGGAACCUCCCAAGAUAAUGCCAAGGGUCAAAGGGUGCGCAGAUACAUAAGGACCAUGGAAAUAAUAUCAGACAAAAAGCAGAUUAGAGCAAUUUUCUUUUUCGAGUUCAAAAUGGGUUAUAAAGCAGCGGAGACAAACCGCAACAUCACCAACGCCUUUGGCCCAGGAACUGCUAAUGAAGGUACAGUGCAGUCACUGUUCAGGAAGUUUUGCAAAGGAGACUAGAGCCUUGAAGAUGAGGAGCAUAGUGACCAGCCAUUGGAAGUCGACAAAGACCAAUUGAGAGGAAUCAUUGAAGCUGAUCAUCUUACAACUACACGAGAAGUUGUCAAAGAACGCAAUGUUGACCAUUGUGUGGUCUUUUCGCAUUUGAAGCAAAUUGGAAAGGUGAAAAACUUGAUAAGUGGGUGCCUUGUGAGCUCAGCAAAAAUCCAAAAAAAUAAUCAUUUUUAAGUGUUGUCUUCUCUUAUUCUACGCAACAACAAUAACCAUUUUGCAAUCGGAUUGUGAUGUGCAAUGAAAAGUGGAUUUGGGGCCGGGCGCGGUGGCUCACGCCUGUAAUCUCAGCACUUUGGAAGGCCAAGGCGGGCAGAUCACGAGGUCAGGAGAUCAAGACCGUCCUGGCUAACACGGUGAAACCCCGUCUCUACUGAAAAUACAAAAAAUUAGCCGGGUGUGGUGGCUGGCGCCUGUAGUCCCAGCUACAGGCUGAGGCAGGAGAAUGGCAUGAACCUGGGAGGCGGAGCUUGCAGUGAGCCGAGACCGUGCCACUGCACUCCAGCCUGGGCGACAGAGCGAUACUCCGUCAAAAAAAAAAAAAAAAAAAAAAAAAGACAAGUGGAUUUUAUAUAUGGCAACCAGCAAUGACCAGCUCAGUGGCUGGACUGAGAAGAAGCUCCAAAGCACUUCCCAAAGCCAAACUUGCACCAAAAAAAAGGUCAGGGUCACUGUUUGGUGGUCUGCUGCUGGUCUGAUCCACCGCUGCUCUCUGAAUCCUGGCAAAACCAUUACAUCUGAGAAGUAUGCUCAACAAAUCAAUGAGCUACGCCAAAAACUGCAGCAUCUGCAGCUGGCAUUGGUCAACAUAACGGGUCCAAUUCUUCUCCACGACAACGCUCAACUGCACCUUGCGCAAGCAGCGCUUCAAAAGUUGAACAAAUUGGGCUACAUAGUUUUUCCUCAUCCGCCAUAUUCACCUGACGUCUUGCCAACUAACUACCACUUCUUCAAGUAUCUCAACAACUUUUUGCAGGGAAAACACUUCCACAACCAGCAGGAUGCAGAACACGCUUUCCAAGAGUUUGUCGAAUCCUGACGCACAGAUUUUUAUGCUACAGGAAUAAACUAACUUAUUUCUCAUUGGCAAAAAUGUGUUGAUUGUAAUGGUUCCUAUUUUGAUGAAUAAAUGUGUGUUUGAGCCUA
rnacentral:lncRNA from 1 species